AGGUUGAUAGGUCGGAGGUGUAAGCAUGGUAACAUGUUCAGCUGACCGAUACUAAUAGGUCGAGGGCUUGACCAA
rnacentral:rRNA from 1 species